rnacentral:tRNA from 1 species
GCCGAGGUAGCAAAGCGGUUUAUUUCAAGAAGCAUAAUUCUUGUAUCCGUAAACUGCGGUAGGCUCGAGACUUACUGUCCGUAAGGACGCGAGGGUUCGAAUCCCUCCCUCGGCA